CUGCCACAACGGCUUCCUGACGUGGCGGAUUAUAUGAAAUGGAGCA
rnacentral:ncRNA from 1 species